rnacentral:tRNA from 1 species
GGGGUUGUGGCUCAGUGGGAGAGCGCCCGCCUAGCAUGCGUGAGGCACUGGGUUCAAUCCUCAGCACCG